rnacentral:lncRNA from 1 species
CUGGUGUGAUCAAAACCAGGCCCAGCCCAUUGAUUUGUUUUUAAUAGCAGCUUUCAUUUUUUAUUAGUGUACACAAACCUCACUAACACUAUACAAAAAGUCAGUAACAAUAUUCUGAAAAAUCAUCUUGUUUAAAGCAGACUCAGCCCUGCAUUGUUUCUGGCAAGGUGCUAUUAAAGAGUUUCCGUCCUGUUUUGGCAGAUCACGUUACUCAAACGCUCCUCUCUACUUUCUUCCCUUCUAGGGUUUGAAUAAUCCCGGUGAUUUUUGGAGAAUGCUGUUGCUGUUACAUGUAAUAAUCUGUUUAGAUAUUAACUUACAUUACAAACAGGCAUUCAGGUUAGAUUAGGAUAAAUAAAGCCACAAUCCUGGUAAGUAUGUGUAUGUGAGAUGGGAAUUUGCUUGCUUUUGGAACCUGCUAUAGCAGAACUCAGCCAUUCCCAGCCAUGGACUUUUUUUUUUUUUUGUGGUAGUGCUUGGCCUGGGGAAGACUGAGAUAUAAAGAAUACAAUGCUUUUUAUGCUAAGAAUAAAACUGCUCUGUGAUUUUUCUGGAACAAAUCGGUUUUGUUUUAAGGACGUGUGAGCUAUUUGAUAGCAGCAAGAAUAUCAAAACCACUUGGAGCAGACAGAAAUUUAUUAUGGCACACCUGGCACUCAGGAUUAGUUUAUUGGUCUGUGUAGGCAAAUAUUCCCUCAGUAGCUGCUACUUGGAAUUGGAAAAUAUUUAUAUGUUUAUAUUUUUGUGUAUAGACACAGAUAUUUGAAGCUGACUGCAGGGAUAAGAUGCUAUUUCAGUCAAAAUCAAGAGGCAUUGCAAGAAGGAAAAGAACAGGAGGCAGCCCUGAAAAGGCAUCAGGGACACCAGGAUACCCACAGAACAUGUGAAAAACAUGUUGACUUGGAGCCAAAGAACUGGCUGAGAUUUAGACAACUGAUUUGGAUAAUUAAUGUGUGAGUAUAUGAAUUGAUGAAGCCUGCAGAAAGUUAU